CCCCGCUGGGCACUGCUUCACGGCGUGCGCGGCGGGGCCGGCCCUGCUGAAUUAUUCACCCGUGUCUUUUGCGUACUUCUUGUUUCCUGGGUGGGCUCGCCCGCCCUCAGGACCAACCACAAACCUUUUGCAAUAGCAAUCAGCGUCAGUAACAACGUAAUUAAUUACAACUUUCAACAACGGAUCUCUUGGUUCUGGCAUCGAUGAAGAACGCAGCGAAAUGCGAUACGUAGUGUGAAUUGCAGAAUUCAGUGAAUCAUCGAAUCUUUGAACGCACAUUGCGCCCUUUGGUAUUCCAAAGGGCAUGCCUGUUCGAGCGUCAUUUGUACCCUCAAGCUUUGCUUGGUGUUGGGCGUCUUUUGUCUCCAGUUCGCUGGAGACUCGCCUUAAAGUCAUUGGCAGCCGGCCUACUGGUUUCGGAGCGCAGCACAAGUCGCGCUCUUCGCCAGCCAAGGUCAGCGUCCAGCAAGCCUUUUUUUCAACCUUUGACCUCGGAUCAGGUAGGGAUACCCGCUGAACUUAAGCAUAUCAAUAA
rnacentral:rRNA from 1 species